GUGUUCACUGGUUAGAGCAAAAUUUUGAUUCUACUUCUCUGCUAUAAAUUUACUGAUAUAGGAGGUACAGCAUAAGAGAUAAAGGUAAUAAUAUACCAAACAAUAUGGGACUGGAUAUGACAAAAGGUACAAGCACUGAACCCCUAACUUUAAAAUUUGCUUUUGGUCCAUAUUCUUCUAAUAAGCAACAGAGGGGAAAUACAC